UUUGAAGCCGCGGCCCCUCGACCUGUGCUCGCCGCGAUUUCUCGCCGGAAACCUCACCGAAGUCGAAGGUAAGCCCCGGCCCUCCUUCCUCUCUUCCUUCCCCUCCUUCCCAUGGCUUCGUGCACCCUCGUCGGCCGUCGGGAUCGUUGGAAAAAUUGAUGAAAAAGCGAGACCCUGUUCUGCCCUGUUCGGUCGAGCCAUUUCCUCCUCUUUUCGGGCCACCGGCACCACCGCCCGUGGUGCCACACC
rnacentral:lncRNA from 1 species